UAAAAGAAAAGCAGGGGUUGUGUGU
rnacentral:piRNA from 1 species